CAGUCGCCGCGGUAAAACGUAGGUGGCAAGCGUUGUCCGGAAUUAUUGGGCGUAAAGGGCUCGCAGGCGGUUUCUUAAGUCUGAUGUGAAAGCCCCCGGCUCAACCGGGGAGGGUCAUUGGAAACUGGGAAACUUGAGUGCAGAAGAGGAGAGUGGAAUUCCACGUGUAGCGGUGAAAUGCGUAGAGAUGUGGAGGAACACCAGUGGCGAAGGCGACUCUCUGGUCUGUGACUGACGCUGAGGAGCGAAAGCGUGGGGAGCGAACAGGAUUAGAUACCCCAGUAGUCCCUGUCUCUUAUAC
rnacentral:rRNA from 1 species